CCCUUGCUAAUACACCCUGAAAGCUACUUGUGUGUCCUUUGUACAAAUAUCACGCUAUCAUCAUUCACCUACCCUGGGCAGCCCAGUUAAAACCGAACCCAGGACUCCUAAUUCCUUCAACCUCUCUGUUGAAUUCACACACUACCCCCGACACCUGUCAGCUUCUUGGAUCCCUGAUGAUUUACUUAUGGAGGAUUUUUUUUUUUCCCUCUAUCCCUGCCCUUGGGAAUGUAAGCAUCAUAAAGGCAGGCUCCAGAACCGAAAGGAAGGCUUGGCACAUAGGAGAUGCUAAACACAUCUUUUUCAAAUGAAUGCAGUGACUUGAGUUUAGGCACUAUGUUAGGACCACAGGUCUCAGGGAUAGAUAAAGUCAGUUUUUGGAAGAUGACAUUUCGGUGGCGGAGAUUUCUACAGGAAGAAAUCAUCAGCAUUAUAUGGAGAGUGCUCUCAUGGAGGCACUGGAGCAGAACAGGGGAGUCAAGAAGAAAAGCAAUUAACGAAUAAAGGAAAAAGUACCAAUAGUGAAGGGAAAAAAAUUCUUCUGAAAGCUAAAGAAGAGGGAAUAAUUGAUGGUUCCAUUUUAGCUUAAUGUUAUUUCUGGAUCUCUUUUAUAAUGUGUUAUUUACUGCAUAGUUUAUAGUUGACAGAAAAUAAACAGCAUUUGCAA